UUUCCUACGCAACGUUCAUCGGCGUAGGGUGAGUCGGCCCCUAAGGCGAGGCAGAAAUGCGUAGUCGAUGGGAAACAGGUUAAUAUUCCUGUACUUGAUUCAAAUGCGAUGUGGGGACGGAGAAGGUUAGGUUAGCAAGCUGUUGGAAUAGCUUGUUUAAGCCGGUAGGUGGAAGACUUAGGCAAAUCCGGGUCUUCUUAACACCGAGAAGUGACGACGAGUGUCUACGGACAUGAAGUAACCGAUACCACGCUUCCAGGAAAAGCCACUAAGCUUCAGUUUGAAUCGAACCGUACCGCAAACCGACACAGGUGGGCAGGAUGAGAAUUCUAAGGCGCUUGAGAGAACUCGGGAGAAGGAACUCGGCAAAUUGAUACCGUAACUUCGGGAGAAGGUAUGCCCUCUAAUGUUAAGGACUUGCUCCGUAAGCAUAGGAGGGUCGCAGAGAAUCGGUGGCUGCGACUGUUUAUUAAAAACACAGCACUCUGCAAACACGAAAGUGGACGUAUAGGGUGUGACGCCUGCCCGGUGCCGGAAGGUUAAGUGAUGGGGUGCAAGCUCUUGAUCGAAGCCCCGGUAAACGGCGGCCGUAACUAUAACGGUCCUAAGGUAGCGAAAUUCCUUGUCGGGUAAGUUCCGACCUGCACGAAUGGCGUAACGAUGGCGGCGCUGUCUCUACCCGAGACUCAGUGAAGUUGAAAUCGCUGUGAAGAUGCAGUGUACCCGCGGCAAGACGGAAAGACCCCGUGAACCUUCACUACAGCUUGACACUGAACAUUGAAAUAAGUUGCAUAGGAUAGGUGGGAGGCUUUGAAGCAGAGACUCUGGUUUCUGUGGAGCCGACCUUGAAAUACCACCCUGCUUAUUUUGAUGUUCUAACGUAGACCCGUAAUCCGGGUUGCAGACAGUGUCUGGUGGGUAGUUUGACUGGGGCGGUCUCCUCCCAAAGAGUAACGGAGGAGCACGAAGGUUUGCUAAUGACGGUCGGACAUCGUCAGGUUAGUGCAAUGGUAUAAGCAAGCUUAACUGCGAGACAGACAAGUCGAGCAGGUACGAAAGUAGGUCAUAGUGAUCCGGUGGUUCUGAAUGGAAGGGCCAUCGCUCAACGGAUAAAAGGUACUCCGGGGAUAACAGGCUGAUUCCGCCCAAGAGUUCAUAUCGACGGCGGAGUUUGGCACCUCGAUGUCGGCUCAUCGCAUCCUGGGGCUGUAGUCGGUCCCAAGGGUUGGGCUGUUCGCCCAUUAAAGCGGUACGCGAGCUGGGUUCAGAACGUCGUGAGACAGUUCGGUCCCUAUCUGCCGUGGGCGUUGGAGAUUUGAGGGAAGCUGUUCUUAGUACGAGAGGACCGGAAUGGACGAACCUCUGGUGUACCGGUUGUCACGCCAGUGGCACAGCCGGGUAGCUAUGUUCGGAAGGGAUAACCGCUGAAAGCAUCUAAGCGGGAAGCCCCUCCCAAGAUAAGAUCUCCCUAGACCUUAAAGGUCUCUAAAGAUCCGUUGAAGACUACGACGUUGAUAGGCUCCAUGUGGAAGUGUAGUAAUACAUGCAGCUAAGGAGUACUAAUUGAUCGUGAGGCUUGAUC
rnacentral:rRNA from 1 species